rnacentral:rRNA from 1 species
GGCGUUAAGUUGCAGGGUAUAGACCCGAAACCCGGUGAUCUAGCCAUGGGCAGGUUGAAGGUUGGGUAACACUAACUGGAGGACCGAACCGACUAAUGUUGAAAAAUUAGCGGAUGACCUGUGGCUGGGGGUGAAAGGCCAAUCAAACCGGGAGAUAGCUGGUUCUCCCCGAAAGCUAUUUAGGUAGCGCCUCGUGAACUCAUCUUCGGGGGUAGAGCACUGUUUCGGCUAGGGGGCCAUCCCGGCUUACCAACCCGAUGCAAACUACGAAUACCGAAGAAUGUUAUCACGGGAGACACACGGCGGGUGCUAACGUCCGUCGUGAAGAGGGAAACAACCCAGACCGCCAGCUAAGGUCCCAAAGUCAUGGUUAAGUGGGAAACGAUGUGGGAAGGCACAGACAGCCAGGAUGUUGGCUUAGAAGCAGCCAUCAUUUAAAGAAAGCGUAAUAGCUCACUGGUCGAGUCGGCCUGCGCGGAAGAUGUAACGGGGCUAAACCAUGCA